AAAAUGACAUUCCAAUGUGGCUGACAAGCACGGGACCCAGAGCUAUUCGAGCGCCAUAUUGGAACGAUGUGGCUAUUUAAGACCUGUAGCUUAAGGUCUGAGUUCAGUCUACGCUGAAAUUUUGGAAGAAAUAGUGCAAGUGUUAUAGUGUUUCGUGGUGGUUAGAAAAAGCUAAGUAUAUUAACUAUUUGGUUACUUUAAUAUUAGAAUGUUAGUAUGAUUAUCUGCAAAUAUUUUUGAGACAUUAACCAUAUUGUGAUAAUUUCCUAAAUCUGCUUAAACUUUGAUUUGUUAUAGUUUGAGGUUUUAUCCACAUUGUGUAAAUUGGUUAUUGUUGGUUAAAAUGAUUUUCUCUGGAUUUCCAUCGGAAAUAAUUGUGUGAUUAAAAUGAAUUUCAAAUAACGUAAUUUUGCUGGUUCUGUAAAACUAAUAAGUUUGUCCCGCCAUUUUUAUUAUUGGUGGAAUAAGAUUACAAAGGCGGUAGUAAUGAACUUUGGUUAAUAAUGUUAAAAUAAAUACAGUUACAUAACCUAAAAUAAAAACCACGUGUUAAUAAUUUAUUGACUUUGUUGAUUAUUUGAUUAUAUCAUAAGAGAUGAAAUUACCUAACCUAAAUUAGCACACGUGGUGAUAGUGUACUUGCUUUGUUGAAUGUUCUGAUUAUAUUAGUGUUAUUAUAUGAAUUGCAUUUACCUGUUGAAAUGAGAAUUUUGAAUAGAUGAAUUUAAUGAAGUGGAACAUAAAGGAAAAUAUGGGAGAAAUAUAUAAUUAAUUACUGGUGUUUGUUGUUUUAAUUCUAUCUUAAUAGGUCACAUCUAAUGCUUGGUCUAACAAUUUUCAGAAGUGGGAUGAUUUCCCGUAGCAGAACCCGGUCGCGCAGCCGGGUGAGGUGGUGUCUAUGGAGAAUGGAGCGUGAGCAGCCACGGGUGCAAGAAGAUGACAACGAAAGCAGCUCCCGGCGCCAACUUCGCUGCCUCGUUGAGUCUACAGACUGACGGCGGAUACGACGUUCACCGAGCGGUACUGGGUCGCAAAGCGAGUCAGGAUGGACGAGUGUCAAAAUGACAUUCCAAUGUGGCUGACAAGCACGGGACCCAGAGCUAUUCGAGCGCCAUAUUGGAACGAUGUGGCUAUUUAAGACCUGUAGCUUAAGGUCUGAGUUCAGUCUACGCUGAAAUUUUGGAAGAAAUAGUGCAAGUGUUAUAGUGUUUCGUGGUGGUUAGAAAAAGCUAAGUAUAUUAACUAUUUGGUUACUUUAAUAUUAGAAUGUUAGUAUGAUUAUCUGCAAAUAUUUUUGAGACAUUAACCAUAUUGUGAUAAUUUCCUAAAUCUGCUUAAACUUUGAUUUGUUAUAGUUUGAGGUUUUAUCCACAUUGUGUAAAUUGGUUAUUGUUGGUUAAAAUGAUUUUCUCUGGAUUUCCAUCGGAAAUAAUUGUGUGAUUAAAAUGAAUUUCAAAUAACGUAAUUUUGCUGGUUCUGUAAAACUAAUAAGUUUGUCCCGCCAUUUUUAUUAUUGGUGGAAUAAGAUUACAAAGGCGGUAGUAAUGAACUUUGGUUAAUAAUGUUAAAAUAAAUACAGUUACAUAACCUAAAAUAAAAACCACGUGUUAAUAAUUUAUUGACUUUGUUGAUUAUUUGAUUAUAUCAUAAGAGAUGAAAUUACCUAACCUAAAUUAGCACACGUGGUGAUAGUGUACUUGCUUUGUUGAAUGUUCUGAUUAUAUUAGUGUUAUUAUAUGAAUUGCAUUUACCUGUUGAAAUGAGAAUUUUGAAUAGAUGAAUUUAAUGAAGUGGAACAUAAAGGAAAAUAUGGGAGAAAUAUAUAAUUAAUUACUGGU